rnacentral:rRNA from 1 species
GAUGAACGCUGGCGGCGUGCCUAAUACAUGCAAGUCGAGCGAAUGGAUUAAGAGCUUGCUCUUAUGAAGUUAGCGGCGGACGGGUGAGUAACACGUGGGUAACCUGCCCAUAAGACUGGGAUAACUCCGGGAAACCGGGGCUAAUACCGGAUAACAUUUUGAACCGCAUGGUUCGAAAGUGAAUGGCGGCUUCGGCUGUCACUUAUGGAUGGACACGCGUCGCAUUGGCUAGUUGGUGAGGUAACGGCUCACCAAGGCAACGAUGCGUAGCCGACCUGGGAGGGUGAUCGGCCACACUGGGACUGAGACACGGCCCAGACUCCUACGGGAGGCAGCAGUAGGGAAUCUUCCGCAAUGGACGAAAGUCUGACGGAGCAACGCCGCGUGAGUGAUGAAGGCUUUCGGGUCGUAAAACUCUGUUGUUAGGGAAGAACAAGUGCUAGUUGAAUAAGCUGGCACCUUGACGGUACCUAACCAGAAAGCCACGGCUAACUACGUGCCAGCCGCCGCAGUAA